UACGUAGGGUGCAAGCGUUUGUUCGGAUUUACUGGGCGUAAAGGGCGCGUAGGCGGCGUGACAAGUCACUUGUGAAAUCUCCGGGCUUAACUCGGAACGGUCAAGUGAUACUGUCAUGACUAGAGUCCGGUAGGGGAGCGUGGAAUUCCUGGUGUAGCGGUGAAAUGCGCAGAUAUCAGGAGGAACACCAGCGGCGAAGGCGGCGCUCUGGGCCGGUACUGACGCUGAGGAGCGAAAGCGUGGGUAGCAAACAGG
rnacentral:rRNA from 1 species